rnacentral:rRNA from 1 species
CCUACGGGGGGCAGCAGUGGGGAAUAUUGGACAAUGGGGGGAACCCUGAUCCAGCCAUGCCGCGUGUGUGAAGAAGGCCCUCGGGUUGUAAAGCACUUUCAGUGAGGAAGAACGCCUGGUGGUUAAUACCCAUCAGGAAAGACAUCACUCACAGAAGAGGCACCGGCUAACUCCGUGCCAGCAGCCGCGGUAAUACGGAGGGUGCGAGCGUUAAUCGGAAUUACUGGGCGUAAAGCGCGCGUAGGUGGCUUGAUAAGCCGGUUGUGAAAGCCCCGGGCUCAACCUGGGAACGGCAUCCGGAACUGUCAAGCUAGAGUGCAGGAGAGGAAGGUAGAAUUCCCGGUGUAGCGGUGAAAUGCGUAGAGAUCGGGAGGAAUACCAGUGGCGAAGGCGGCCUUCUGGACUGACACUGACACUGAGGUGCGAAAGCGUGGGUAGCAAACAGGAUUAGAUACCCUAGUAGUC